rnacentral:rRNA from 1 species
AAUCCAUAGGUUAAUGAGGCGAACCGGGGGAACUGAAACAUCUAAGUACCCCGAGGAAAAGAAAUCAACCGAGAUUCCCCCAGUAGCGGCGAGCGAACGGGGAGGAGCCCAGAGCCUGAAUCAGCAUGUGUGUUAGUGGAAGCGUCUGGAAAGGCGCGCGAUACAGGGUGACAGCCCCGUACACAAAAGCGCAUGUGCUGUGAGCUCGAUGAGUAGGGCGGGACACGUGGUAUCCUGUCUGAAUAUGGGGGGACCAUCCUCCAAGGCUAAAUACUCCUGACUGACCGAUAGUGAACCAGUACCGUGAGGGAAAGGCGAAAAGAACCCCGGCGAGGGGAGUGAAAAAGAACCUGAAACCGUGUACGUACAAGCAGUGGGAGCCCCACCACCAAAGCGUUUCGCUUUGUGUGGUGCACAAAGAAGCGUAACGACAGCACUGAAUGACGGUUAACGGAGCGCAAGCGACGUUCAACAUACAAAGUCAAGCAGUGGAGCGCUUUGGGGUGGGGUGACUGCGUACC